GGUGAUCAUAUUUUUAAACAAAUGGGUACAGAGUUUCUAUCAAUGUUUCUUUGGGGUUUGGGGAUGGUGGCCACAUAGAGAUGAUUGCUCAUAUAAAGUCAGUGCUGUUUCCUCAUUUAGACUGCUGGAGGUGUCCCAUGGCUGUCUUUAUAGUGCUGAAGUUUUUGAUAGCUUUGGUGAUUUAGUGACAGCUCUGAACAAGAGAGAAAGCAUCCCACCCAAGCACCUAUUCACAGGUGACCCAUGGAAAGACAAUAAAGAGGGAUACCAUAUUAGAGGGAGCCACUAUAUGUCUGAGAAGAGAUCUGGAACUAGGGAGAUCUCCAGAGACCUACAAGGAUGACACGAUCUGACAAUCCAGGCAAUGGUGGAGAGGAUAACCUAAAAGCCUUCCCCUAAAAUGGGAUUGAUGACUACUCUUUAUGCCAUCCUAGAGCCCUCAUCCAGUGGCUGAUGGAAGAAGAGACAGACAUCCACAGAAAUACACUGAGCUGAAAUCUGGGAUUUAGUUGAAGAGAGGGAGGAAUGAAGAGUGAAGGGGUCUGUACCAGGUUGGAGAAACCCACAGAAACAGUUGGCCUGAACAAGGGAGAGCACAUAGACCCCAGAUGCUAUCUGAGAGGCCAGUACAAGACUUUCCAACCCCCUGAACAUGGAUGUCAAUAAGGAGGCCUCUGUACUCCAGGGAGCCUCUAGAACUGGAUUAGCAUUUUUCCCUGGUGUAAGAAGGAACUUUGAGAGCCC
rnacentral:lncRNA from 1 species